AGCUUUCUUUCUCAGUUGGGCUUUACAUCUGACGCGGUGCGUAUGCCUCUCGGGCUCGGCUCUCGCUCGUCGCGCCGGGCCCGCCCAUGAUAUCCCCUCUCUGUCUGCCCGGCCGCACCGACGCCUUGAUGUGCCGCCGGCACCGGUUGGCCGGUUAGUUGCUCGCCUCCACCGUCCGUCCGGCCGGCGGCCGCCUACCUACGUGCUACGUGCGGUACAGCGGAUUGUGCGUCCUGUGGAUGGAUUCGGUGAUCGGCUGAUCAGCGCACGGUCAAGUUGACGCCUGAUUUGAGGAAUCAAGGCGGAUCCAUCAUCCAUGGAUGCACGCAGCAUUCAAGCAGGUGCAUCUACGAUUGGGAUCGGUACAGAUUCAAUAGAAACAGAACUCCAAACUGGGACCAAAUCAUUAUGCUGUAUGUACGACGUACUUUGUUGUUUCAACGUGGCUGCAAGCGCGUCACACAAAACCUUUUAAAGUGUACGUGCACCGUUGAGCAAGCUACUAAUGCCUAGUGGCAAUACUAUUUCAUAAA